rnacentral:tRNA from 1 species
GCCUCUUUAGCUUAGUUGGUUAAAGCAAUGGUAUCGUAAACCGUAGACGCCAGUUCGAAUCUGGCAAGGGGCU